rnacentral:rRNA from 1 species
AGUGAACGCUGGCGGUAGGCCUAACACAUGCAAGUCGAACGGCAGCACAGUAAGAGCUUGCUCUUACGGGUGGCGAGUGGCGGACGGGUGAGGAAUACAUCGGAAUCUACUUUUUCGUGGGGGAUAACGUAGGGAAACUUACGCUAAUACCGCAUACGACCUACGGGUGAAAGCAGGGGAUCUUCGGACCUUGCGCGAUUGAAUGAGCCGAUGUCGGAUUAGCUAGUUGGCGGGGUAAAGGCCCACCAAGGCGACGAUCCGUAGCUGGUCUGAGAGGAUGAUCAGCCACAUGGGACCGGAGAACCGGCCAAGCCUCCUAGGGGAGGCAGAGGGGGGAAUUUUCGACAAAUGGGGGCAAGCCGGUCCCAGCAAUACCGCGUGGGUGAAGAAGGCCUCCGGGUGGUAAAGCCCUUUUGUUGGGAAAGAAAGCAGCAGGUUAAUACCCCGCUGUUCUGACGGUACCCAAAGAAUAAGCACCGGCUAACUUCGUG